GAUGAACGCUGGCGGCGUGCCUAAUACAUGCAAGUCGAGCGAACGGACGAGAAGCUUGCUUCUCUGAUGUUAGCGGCGGACGGGUGAGUAACACGUGGACAACCUACCUAUAAGACUGGGAUAACUGCGGGAAACCGGAGCUCAUACCGGAUAAUAUUUUGAACCGCAUGGUUCAAAAGUGAAAGACGGGCUUGCUGUGACUGAUAGCUGGAUCCGCGAUGCAUGAGCUAGUUGGUAAGGUAACGGCUUACCAAGGCAACGAUGCCUAGCCGACCUGAGAGGGUGAUCGGGUACACUGGAACUGAGACGCGGUCCAGGCUCCGACGGGAGGCAGCAGUAGGGACGCUUGCGCAAAGGGGGAAAGCCUGACGGAGCAGCGCCGCGUGGGUGCUGAAGGGCUGCGGAUCGGAAGACUGUGUUAUGAUGGAAGAACAUAUGUGCAAGGAACUGUGCACAUCUUGACGGUACCUAAUCAGAAAGCCACGGCUAACUACGUG
rnacentral:rRNA from 1 species